CCCCUAGUGAGAGAGCUCCUGGAGAAGUCCGCGCCACCGCUGCUGGAGAAGUAGUCCAUCAGUCAUCAGAGGCUCAACCUAAGGUUAUAGGCAUUGUAGAAAUUAGGACCUUGAAGGAUGGCCAAGCAUCAUCCUGAUUUGAUAAUGUGCCGGAAGCAGCCAGGAAUUGCCAUAGGACGACUGUGUGAGAAAGAUGAUGGGAAGUGUGUGAUAUGUGAUUCCUAUGUACGUCCUUGCACGCUUGUGCGAAUUUGUGACGAGUGCAAUUAUGGAUCCUUCCAAGGUCGAUGUGUUAUAUGUGGAGGGGUUGGCAUCUCAGAUGCCUACUAUUGCAAAGAGUGUACACAGCAGGAGAAAGAUAGAGAUGGGUGUCCAAAAAUUGUUAAUUUAGGGAGUGCCAAAACAGAUUUGUUUUAUGAACGCAAGAAAUAUGGUUUUAAGAAAAGAUGAUGAGCUGUGGGUUACAUCUAUGCUGCUUUUAUUUCUGUCCGUGUUGUGAUCAAUGGAGAGACCUAAUUUAGGCUGUCCUAAAUAAUUUAAGUUUGUAUUUUGUUCCUAAAGAUAUUGCAAAUGGCUGUGUUGCUUGUAAUCUUAUGAACUGAGAUUUUAUGUUUUGGAGCAUGUUGUAUUUUACAGAGGGCAGCAGGCCCCUUCACUCUGUGGUGAAGAGUUUCAGCAAUUAAUCAUCUAAGAGAUAGAGAGAGAGAGAGAGACUGGUCUUAGAGUGGGCGCUCUUUGUGUCUCUUGCUCAUGUUUGUGGUGGUCUUAACACCAUUUCCAGCUCAGGUAUGCAUGUUGGUUUUUGCUUUGGAAAUGGAAGUUGUGCAUAUAAAUACCAAGUUGUUAAUUGCUGAGAUGAUAAAUAUGUAUUCAUGAAAAGUUGAAAACACAUUGAUAGGUUGCUAAUAUAUUCCUUUUCUUUCUUGUUUCGUUUAGUAGAGCUUCAAUCAAGUUACCGUGGAAAAACAAUAUGAAUAAUAUGCACCCGCAUUGUAGGAAUGUGAAUUGGUUAAAAGAUUGGUAAUUGGUUUCUGUUUGUGACAACUGAAUAUUUUUAAUUGA
rnacentral:misc_RNA from 1 species